UGACCAUCAUAAACGUUGACAAAGAGGAGU
rnacentral:piRNA from 1 species